GUGCCAGCAGCCGCGGUAAUACGGAGGAUCCAAGCGUUAUCCGGAAUCAUUGGGUUUAAAGGGUCCGUAGGCGGGUUUAUAAGUCAGUGGUGAAAGUCUGCAGCUUAACUGUAGAACUGCCAUUGAUACUGUAGAUCUUGAAUUAUUAUGAAGUGGUUAGAAUAUGUAGUGUAGCGGUGAAAUGCAUAGAUAUUACUCAGAAUACCGAUUGCGAAGGCAGAUCACUAACAAUGAACUGACGCUGAUGGACGAAAGCGUAGGUAGCGAACAGGAUUAGAAACCCUUGUAGUCC
rnacentral:rRNA from 1 species